ensembl:ncRNA lncRNA:CR44568 long non-coding RNA:CR44568
AAAAAAAAUUAACUAGCGUAGAUAUAUAAGAAUUAUUUUGCUUAUUCAGUUCUUUCCAUCGAGGAUCGUCUGUAGCUACAGUUAUAUUUUCAUGCCCAUUUAGCUCGCUACACAAAAAGGAGGAGAAAUGUUUAGCCACAAAUUGAAUCUGCGGUGAGUGAGUUAACGAGCGAGAGAGAGGUCUAGAUGGAUAUAGUAUAACCAUGCCAUAGUGUAUGCCAUACCAUAGGACACCAGCUAACGCCAACCCAACCCAAGCCAACCCAACGAGGAUAUGGCAUGAUGAUAUAGGGGCAGACGACGUGGAACGGGUAGUAGUUUUCAAGUGGUGCAGAGCGGCACAGAACGCUAAUUAAAAAGAUACUUGAUGGGAGCCACCGGAAACAAAACGGAAAAGCCAAAGAAGCGAGGCGGGCAAUGCGAAAAAAUGCGGGAAAAAUGGCUGAAAUGCGAAUGAAAGGCAAAGGCGAAUGGGAUGGCAAGCAAGUUAACGUUGCCAUGAAAUCGUCUAUGAAAUGUGAAUGUAAUCUAAUGAAUAAAAUGCAUCUGCUAACCCCCAU